AUUAGGGUGUCUGAAUAAAGUAACAAAUUGUAAAUUUGUCAAUGAAGUUGAUUCCCCUAAUA
rnacentral:tRNA from 1 species